AAUGGAGGAAACUCUGAUCCAGCAAUGCCGCGUGUGUGAUGAAGGCCUUAGGGUUGUAAAGCACUUUCAACGGUGAAGAUGAUGACGGUAGCCGUAGAAGAAGCCCCGGCUAACUUCGUGCCAGCAGCCGCGGUAAUACGAAGGGGGCGAGCGUUGUUCGGAAUUAUUGGGCGUAAAGGGCGCGCAGGCGGUUUGGAUAGUUAGACGUGGAAGCCCUGGGCUUAACCUAGGAACUGCGUUUAAUACUGCCAAACUAGAGAACUAGAGAGGAUAGCGGAACUCCCAGUGUAGAGGUGAAAUUCGUAGAUAUUGGGAAGAACAUCAGUGGCGAAAGCGGCUGUCUGGCUAGUUUCUGACGCUGAGGCGCGAAAGCGUGGGGAGCAAACAGGAUU
rnacentral:rRNA from 1 species